rnacentral:lncRNA from 1 species
UCUGAAAAAAUUUCAUUAAUCCAAUAGAAAUUUACAGGCCAACAAAAAGGAAAGCAAAAUAACUCACAUACAUUGGAUGGAAACAUAAACAUAAAAACCCUGCUCCAUUAAAUAAACUAAGAUAGAAACCCAAAUCUCUAAUUUCUGUUCGCAGAAAGCAGCGUCUACCGCAAUCACUGCCACGAAAGCCUUGCCUGCAAAUACCGAAGCAACAACACUAGAGAAAACGACCAAGUGGUGAAAACAAACAAGACAUCACAGCACAAAACCAAACCCACAACAAGAAGCACACCACAUCCAAAUUUCUUCACCAAAGACGCAGAACCAAAAGAUAGUUACCAGAUCCAAAUCUCAUUCACGAUUCCUUACAAAUAUAUACAAACUCAAUAACACAGGGAUAAAAGGUAAGGCUAUGGGGUAUGUAAAAAUACCUUUACUUUGGCCGAAGCCGCAGUACACUUGGUCUCGGGGGAAAUCUAGCAUGCCGUUUUGGGGGUACAGUGAGGGAGCGAAAUAAAUCUGACAACCAUAUUCGGUGCGGAGUCUGCAUAUCGAAGCAAAGGAUGGGGUAUGUAUGGUUUAUGGGGAAGGAAAGCAGAGGAGUGGGGAGAUGGAGUUUUGGGUUUGGAAAACAACGGCCAGAUGAGAGGAACAAUUUAUGACAUGCAUUUGUAUUGACAAAGAUUUUUGACAAGAAAAUAAAUACAGGCACAAUACUGUAUAUGUUUGAUGGAACUGCAUGACUAUGACGUAAAUAAAUAUAAAAACAGAAUGACAUGUGACCCCAAUCUCUUGGAAACUACAUGAUCUUGUUUUUUUGUCAAACUGCAAGACCUUGUUUGUUUAGCAUAGAAGACAUCCACAAGCACAAACCAAAAGUAACGGACGUAGUGCAUCUCGAUCUUGACUAGUAGGUAAUUAUCGUCGGAAGAACUUUUCUAAUUUUCUUUACUCCGUAGAGAUCAUUAUACCUACCUUCAAAAUAUGAAGCUAUAAUCUCUUUUGACGUUAUAUUAAUGAUUAUACAAGAACAAUGUUAGGGAGAUUACAUUUUUAAAUCAUAUAGAUGUACAAUCUCAUAUGAUAAAUAAUGCAUACAACUAACACUUAAUCAAAUAGAUUUAUUAAUUGACGUGACAUGUAUACAUCACUCGUCACGUAAAAUGGUACAUCAAUGUGGUGCGAAAAAUACGGUCUUCUUAACAUUUUUCGAUUAGACAAUUGCAAAACUUAAUUGCAAUAAUAACAAUUUCCAAUGGAUGUUUUAUCAAUAAUAUAUGUUUUGCCUUUUGAGGUGAAAUUGAUUACGGUUAGUCUGUU